GUGUCAGCAGCCGCGGUAAGACGAACCGUGCGAACGUUAUUCGGAAUCAUUGGGCUUAAAGGGCGCGUAGGCGGCAACGUAAGUUGGAAGUGAAAUCCCAUCGGCUCAACCGUGGAAUCGCUCCCAGUACUGCGUUGCUUGAGCGAGAUAGGGGCCCGCGGAACUGCCGGUGGAGCGGUGAAAUGUGUUGAUAUCGGCGGGAACGCCAGUGCCGAAAGGGGCGGGCUGGACCUUUGCUGACGCUGAAGCGCGAAAGCUAGGGUAGCGAACGGGAUUAGAAACCCUCGUAGUCC
rnacentral:rRNA from 1 species